AGCCUACGGGGGGCAGCAGUGGGGAAUCUUAGACAAUGGGCGCAAGCCUGAUCUAGCCAUGCCGCGUGAGCGAUGAAGGCCUUAGGGUUGUAAAGCUCUUUCAGUGGGGAAGAUAAUGACGGUACCCACAGAAGAAGCCCCGGCUAACUCCGUGCCAGCAGCCGCGGUAAUACGGAGGGGGCUAGCGUUGUUCGGAAUUACUGGGCGUAAAGCGCACGUAGGCGGACCAGAAAGUCAGGGGUGAAAUCCCGGGGCUCAACCCCGGAACUGCCUUUGAAACUCCUGGUCUUGAGGUCGAGAGAGGUGAGUGGAAUUCCGAGUGUAGAGGUGAAAUUCGUAGAUAUUCGGAGGAACACCAGUGGCGAAGGCGGCUCACUGGCUCGAUACUGACGCUGAGGUGCGAAAGCGUGGGGAGCAAACAGGAUUAGAUACCCCGGUAGUCG
rnacentral:rRNA from 1 species